CGUCGACCUCAGCAAGCACAUCGGCUGUACCCAUGCCGAACACAGAAGUUAAGCCCUAGAACGCCGGAAGUAGUUGGGGGUUGCCCCCUGUGAGAUAGGGAAGUCGCUUAGCU
rnacentral:rRNA from 1 species